rnacentral:misc_RNA from 1 species
ACCCAUGUAAAAAAGAAAAGGAGAUGAUGCACAGAAAAAGUUUAUCAGUGAAACAAAAGGAUUAAAAGACCGAAUUUGAUCAUAUUCGCAUAUGGUGGUUUAUACUGAUUUAUUUUGUGAGUUUAACACGUAACGGGUGGACGAGUGAGUGAUUUUCCAUGCAUACCUGUGUUAUAUAUGGGUGCUUCAGAGUCGAAACAGGAAGAGGAUCAUACAGAACAACUGAUUCGAAAUGUCAAAAUUGCCUUAGUUGGUACUUAUGGUGUUGGGAAAACGUCGAUAAUUACAAGAUAUAUUGACCAAAAGUUUAGUUCAGAAUAUAUAUACACACGAGGUAAGUGCAUGUCAACUAUUUUAAUGAGAACGAGUAAGGGUUAAAUGGACAACCUUGUCGAACUCCUAUAUGUCCAAAUUACAAUAUACGGAGUUGCAGACGAUUUUGAAACGUUUAAAGUAAACCGAACUUUUUUUUUCAAAUUUCUUGUUACAGGAGGAAACAUACGCAAGAAGUCCAUAAAAGUCUAUGGUAGACAAAUUCAAAUUGAACUAAUAGACACGGGUGGACAAGAAUAUCAAAAGAAACUCGUUCUUGGGUUUUUCACAAAAGCGCAAGUGCAUGGGGUGGUACUUGUACAUGAUAUCUCCAAGCCAAACAGUUUUAAUGAAGUUGAAGAUUGGCUGACAGACAUCCGACAGCACAGCCUGGGUGACCCCGUGAUCAUGCUCAUAGGAAACAAGAACGACUUGGAUCCGUGCGCCAAAUACGACGAUCCGUCCACCAUUCCACAGAAUCUCAAAGCAGGCCCAGCUCGAGUCCCCUACGAACAGUGUGAAAGGAAGACAUACGAGCAGGGACUACUUCCGUUUUACGGCGAGGUCAGCGCCAAGACAGGCAUGAACAUUGAAUCCAUCAUUGAGCUACUCGUCAAGGAAAUUCUCCACCAACAAAAUAAACUCCUGGGUAGUAUCUGGGAGCCAGAUCUCAUGCAGGAGAGUAUCAAGCCCAGCACAAAACCCCAUGAAAAUCGGUCCCGCUGUAUCAUAUUGUAACAAAAGAUCCUGCAGGCCUCUGUUUUAAAGAUGAUUUCAUACGUGAGGAUGAAGCAGACGUUAUAUAAUACCGAAAUCCAGGCCAAAAGUCAAAACGACGACGUUUAAUUGUGUUUAUAUGACUCAGUAAACUACAUGUACUUCUAGUUGGGCUGUGGAUAUGUAUUGAUGGUAGUGAGGUUCGCCCCUUUUGAUAUUUAGUCAACUUUAGUCAGUGUCAUCCCUGCAAUAAAAAAGUUGAUGCAUAAUCAACACAUAUACACUAUGUAAAUUCAAUCACUGGAUAUAACAAAUUAAUGUUUAUGUGUAUUGUACAGUAAAACUCGGUUAUAGCGAAUUCCAAUUAAAGGACUGUUGGAUUUACAUAUCACUAUAUCCGUAAUUCGUUUUAACCGUAUAACGAAUUCGUAUUAUUUAAUGUACUGACAUUAAAUAUUGAUUUUGAUGAUAUUAGCCAAACAGUAUGUAUAUGUAUUGAACAUGAUAUGAUUAGGUUAUAACUCCAUACAUGUACUUCUCUAUGCAUUCUUUAUAUGUAAAGUUCGAAAUAAAUCGAUAUACAAC